GGGAGUGUAGCACAGUGGUAGAUCGUCCGAUUUACAUGCAGAAGGUCCAGGGUUGGAAUCCCUGCUCGUCCA
rnacentral:tRNA from 1 species